CGAACCCACGCACGUUGAAAAGUGCGGGGAUGAGGUGUGGGUAGCGGAGAAAUUCCAAUCGAACUUGGAGAUAGCUGGUUCUCUCCGAAAUAGCUUUAGGGCUAGCCUCGAGGUAAAGAGUCAUGGAGGUAGAGCACUGUUUGGACUAGGGGCCCUUCUCGGGUUACCGAAUUCAGAUAAACUCCGAAUGCCAUGUACUUAUACUCGGGAGUCAGACUGCGAGUGAUAAGAUCCGUAGUCGAAAGGGAAACAGCCCAGACCACCAGUUAAGGUCCCCAAAUAUAUGUUAAGUGGAAAAGGAUGUGGGGUUGCUUAGACAACCAGGAUGUUGGCUUAGAAGCAGCCACCAUUGAAAGAGUGCGUAAUAGCUCACUGGUCGAGUGACCCCGCGCCGAAAAUGUACCGGGGCUAAACAUAUUACCGAAACUGUGGAUGAACCUCUUUAGAGGUUCGUGGUAGGAGAGCGUUCUAAGGGCGGUGAAGUCAGACCGGAAGGACUGGUGGAGCGCUUAGAAGUGAGAAUGCCGGUAUGAGUAGCGAAAGAAGGGUGAGAAUCCCUUCCACCGAAUAUCUAAGGUUUCCUGAGGAAGGCUCGUCCGCUCAGGGUUAGUCGGGACCUAAGCCGAGGCCGAUAGGCGUAGGCGAUGGACAACAGGUAGAGAUUCCUGUACCAGUGCUAAUUGUUUAACCGAUGGGGUGACACAGAAGGAUAGGGAAUCGCACGAAUGGAAAUGUGCGUCCAAGCAGUGAGUGUGAGAAGUAGGCAAAUCCGCUUCUUGCGAAGCAUGAGCUGUGAUGGGGAAGGAAAUUAAGUACGGAAGUUCCUGAUUUCACGCUGUCAAGAAAAGCCUCUAGGAAGAGUAGUACUGCCCGUACCGCAAACCGACACAGGUAGAUGAGGAGAGAAUCCUAAGGUGAGCGAGAGAACUCUCGUUAAGGAACUCGGCAAAAUGACCCCGUAACUUCGGGAGAAGGGGUGCUCUAUUAGGGUGCAAGCCCGAGAGAGCCGCAGUGAAUAGGCCCAGGCGACUGUUUAGCAAAAACACAGGUCUCUGCAAAACCGUAAGGUGACGUAUAGGGGCUGACGCCUGCCCGGUGCUGGAAGGUUAAGAGGAGUGCUUAGCUUCGGCGAAGGUACGAAUUGAAGCCCCAGUAAACGGCGGCCGUAACUAUAACGGUCCUAAGGUAGCGAAAUUCCUUGUCGGGUAAGUUCCGACCCGCACGAAAGGCGCAACGAUCUGGGCACUGUCUCAACGAGAGACUCGGUGAAAUUAUAGUACCUGUGAAGAUGCAGGUUACCCGCGACAGGACGGAAAGACCCCGUGGAGCUUUACUGCAACCUGAUAUGGAAUGUUUGUACCGCUUGUACAGGAUAGGUAGGAGCCGAAGAGACGUGUGCGCUAGCAUACGAGGAGGCAAUGGUGGGAUACUACCCUGGCUGUAUGACCAUUCUAACCCGCCACGCUUAGCGCGUGGGGAGACAGUGUCAGGUGGGCAGUUUGACUGGGGCGGUCGCCUCCUAAAGAGUAACGGAGGCGCCCAAAGGUUCCCUCAGAAUGGAUGGAAAUCAUUCGCAGAGUGUAAAGGCACAAGGGAGCUUGACUGCGAGACUGACAAGUCGAGCAGGGACGAAAGUCGGGCUUAGUGAUCCGGUGGUUCCGCAUGGAAGGGCCAUCGCUCAACGGAUAAAAGCUACCCCGGGGAUAACAGGCUUAUCUCCCCCAAGAGUCCACAUCGACGGGGAGGUUUGGCACCUCGAUGUCGGCUCGUCGCAUCCUGGGGCUGUAGUCGGUCCCAAGGGUUGGGCUGUUCGCCCAUUAAAGCGGCACGCGAGCUGGGUUCAGAACGUCGUGAGACAGUUCGGUCCCUAUCCGUCGCGGGCGCAGGAAAUUUGAGAGGAGCUGUCCUUAGUACGAGAGGACCGGGAUGGACACACCGCUGGUGUACCAGUUGUUCCGCCAGGAGCAUCGCUGGGUAGCUAUGUGUGGCAGGGAUAAACGCUGAAAGCAUCUAAGCGUGAAGCCCCCCUCAAGAUGAGAUUUCCCAUUUCUUCGGAAAGUAAGAUCCCUGAAAGAUGAUCAGGUAGAUAGGUUUGGAGUGGAAGUGUAGCGAUACAUGGAGCGGACAAAUACUAAUCGAUCGAGGACUUAACCAAAA
rnacentral:rRNA from 1 species